GCAACUGCUUUAAAGAACAUAGUGAUCAAUUUGUUGAUGUGCUUUCUAAAAAUCUGAAUCACAUUGUAUAUAUGUUGCACAACAGAAAAGCCAUUACUGAUGAACAAAAAUUGAGUAUUCAUGAUAGUUUUUCUCCUUAUUCGGGGAUAAAAAAAAUUGUUUAAGUAUAUAGAAAUAAAUGACGAACAAGAUGAGUUCAUCCAUGUACUUUAUAGACAGAUAAUGGUGGAAUCGUAAAUUUCAUUCGACUUGCAGCGAGAUAUUACUUUACAUCAGAACUACUGAAAAGUCUGGCUUUUGAAAUCGGAACAGACGUUGUUUUAUCUUGCGAAGUCAGCGAUGAUCAUGGCGUACAAUGGUUCAAAAAUGAAAUCGAAAUAUCAGCAAACCAAAAAUAUAUCUUAAGGAACAAUGGUCUUGUCCGUAUGCUCAUCAUAAUAAAAGCACAGCCAGAGGAUGCAGGCGAUUAUGUAUGCAAAUGUAGUUACGACAGAACAGAGUGUACCAUAAAAGCAGAUAUCAAAGUAAUUGAAAGUCUAAAAAAUUUAGAGGUAGUAAAAGGAGACAGUUUACAACUUACAUGCAAGUUGAAUGCCAAUGUUAAGGUCAAAUGGAGUAGAAAUGGCCAAGAACUUUCUAGGGACAUUCACACAGCAAAUGAAACGACUGAAGAAUUUUUUUUCAAGUACACUUUAACGAUAAAAAACGUCAAGGAAGACUACAGUGGAGAGUACAGUUGCCUUUACGAGAACUUGAAGACUUCUUGUCAUGUGGUAGUAAAAG